rnacentral:rRNA from 1 species
GGAUUAGAUACCCGGGUAGUCCACGCUGUAAACGAUGCCAACUAGGUCUUGGGGAGUAUCGACCCUCCUUUGGACCGAAGCUAACGCGUUAAGUUGGCCGCCUGGGGAGUACGAGCGCAAGCUUAAAACUCAAAGGAAUUGACGGGGACCUGCACAAGCGGUGGAGCGCGUGGUUUAAUUCGUCACAAAGCGUAGAACCUUACCAAGGCUUGACAUCCCGAGAAAGCUCUAGAAACAGAGCCGUGCCGCAAGGAACUCGGUGACAGGUGCUGCACGGUCGUCGUCAGCUCGUGCUGUGAAGUGUCCCGUUCAGUCGGUUAACGAGCGCAACCCUUACCCUGUGUUAUACAUGUCACAGGGAACUGCCCCAGUUAAUGGGGAGGAAGGUGAGGAU